CUCCGUUCAUAUCCAACCAUGUCUGAAGCAUAGGUAGAGACUGAAUUUGCAGUACAUGCAAACGCAAAAAGACGCCGUCUGCACCCUCACAGCACCUUCAGCGAAAGUCAUGAGAGAAGGAUUCACGGCAGCAAGAAGCGCCGUCGGAUCAUGAAGGUACACCCCUGCAACCAUUUCUGUGAGUUCAAGACACAAGACUGCAAAUCUUUUUUAUAUGUCUCCUCUUUCAUGAAAUGUUGUCAAGCGCAAAAAUGCCAUCAAACUUGUCUUUGAGGUGUUAUCAUAAUUUUUUUGCAAGAAGGCCUUGGUUCAGGAAUUCAGGUUAUGCUUCUACAAAGAUUUGAAGGUCAGUUCACAAAAGAGAUAAAUGAUGUACUUAAAUUGCUUUAUUCUAAUUCUAAAUAUAAGCAUCAUGGAGGCUUCACAGAUUUGCCAAGAUACUGCAUUUGAUUUCUACCUGUAUAGCUAUGCUGGCAUUCAGGUUGGGUGUCCCUGUCCAAUUACUGAACUCUGUUUACUCUUUUGGAGUGUUCUGAUCCAGUGCAGUGUUACUUGGCUAUAGAUCAAUUCUAGAUUUAUAUUUUUGAUGAACCAAGCAUUGGAUCUUGUCACAUGAUUGUCAAUUAAUUUGAUCGGUAUUGCGCAAAUAAUGGCAGCACCUUUAUGAGAAAAAGUGGCAAACAUAAGAUUGCUUUUUUACGGAGGGAUGAGAACAAAAAUUAAUUGAGCAAUGAAUUGCUUGGUCUCUUUGCUCUUUCUUUGAUAAAAAUUGUGGCAAAAAAAUCUUGGAUCCAUCAGCAACUCUUCAUGCAUCUCUCAUAUGCACAAAAGUAAUAUUCUUAAAAAUUUGAGAGGUGCCCAAUAUUUUAGUUUUCAGUCAUACUAAUCUGGAUCAUGCAGAGAAGGGGAGAAAAGGGGAUGCUUGAAUCUGGAGUUAUGCUCAGCAUCCUUAAUAGUUGAAGCAACAGAAGUUAAACUGUCAGGAUCUGGCUUCAAUAAAGUAGGUGGGUGAGUUAUUCUCGGAUGUAUCCAUCCUGCCAAUAUGAACAAAUCACUGCACCCUCGCUUAGGAAGUCAGCAGGAUCUUACAUGUGCUUGAGAUUAAGCAUGAUUGACACAACAAAGUCCAUCCAAACCUGAAUUUGGUAUAGUACGCGAAUACAAACUACUUUCUUUGUA